UGUUCGAGCGUCAUUAUAACCACUCAAGCCUGGCUUGGUAUUGGGGUUCGCGGUGCCGCGGCCCCUAAAAUCAGUGGCGGUGCCGGUAGGCUCUAAGCGUAGUAAAUAUCCUCGCUAUAGGGUCCCUCCGGUUACUCGCCACGAACCCCCCAUUUUUUCAGGUUGACCUCGGAUCAGGUAGGGAUACCCGCUGAACUUAA
rnacentral:misc_RNA from 1 species